rnacentral:snRNA from 1 species
GGACGUGAGGACUGUCUGGCGGGGAGACCGUCGCCCCGCUGAUCCCCAGGACUGGUUCAGCUGACUGGGCUGAUCCAGCAGGCGUCCCCUUCCCACCCACCCGCCCCCCGCGCUGCCUGCGCACCCCUCCGGGAGCUGUGCGCUCAGCCGAGGAGGACGGACGACAGGGGAGGACUGGUCUUUGGUCAAGGGUGCACGAGUAGCUGUGCUCGCCUCUAGAGCCUCCAGACAAGCUCGCAAAGGCCCCGAGCCAAAGCGGCUCUUGUCCUGCAGGUGAGGAGCAGGGGCGAUGCUUCACCAU